AUUUCUUUCUCUCACAAUUCUCUGCUUCUGUCUCUCUCGCUCUCCAACGCUACCUUCUCUCGCUCUCCGACCUUGCGAUCUCAGUCACGAAAAUCUGCUUCUAUCGCUCUCAGUAGCUUUUAAAUUUCAGUUGAAGCGAUUCUACUGGUCUCAAAUUACACCAUAUUUGAGGGCGAAAAUUUAAUUCUGUAGUAGGGGAGAGCUUCCCUGUGAUUCUUUAAAAUCAAAGAGCUCCCCUAUUACCAUUGCAGCAGAGGCACGAGUACCGCGUGUAUUUCUACAAGGUCUUCAAGCUUUACACAAAGCCAUGGAUCGCAAGACACUCCUCCCUCUGUUCUCUCACGCAUCUUCAGCUCUGUCUCUUUCACUCUUUAGGUACCUGCCGCUGUUGCCGAUCUGCAGAGUCUGAGGAGAAGAAGGUGGAGGCUGAAAGUCAAUGGACUCCCACAAGGAGAAAGUUGAAAAUCCAUUCGUAGAUUUUUUUAACUUAAAUUUCUGGGUUGUGCUCAAAUUUUCGUUAAAUUUGUGGGUUUUUUUGGCGUGAUUUUAUCUGCAAGUUCUGGUUGCAUUGAAGGAUGGUAAGCCUCUUCACUCUCCUCUUUUUUUUCUCUCUAAACUCUUUUUGUGGAAUAUAUUUUGUUUGAUUGCAGAGUUUUUGGUUCUUAAAAAUCUCCAAUUUUUUUUAUUUGGUUUCCUCUUGAUUAUUGUUGCCUAAAACUCUAUCAAGGGUUUGCUUUUUUGAUUGUGACCUUAAACAGUCGAAGAAGGUUUAUUUAAUGGCUGAAGAAAUUGACGAUUGUUUGGUCAUCAAAUAUUUCUCCUCUUUUGUUUGUUUGAUUUCUUUCUAAUAUUCAAAUAAUUAUUGUUGUGUAAUCCUGAUAGCACUGUUGCUGCAGCUCGAAUAGACAUGUACCAAAGCAUGAGAGAUGCUCUUGCGCAGCAGUAUGGUGGCUUUGCAGCUCACAACACCUCUUCUUGACAACAACAAUUUAUCUGGGUAUCUUCCGCCAUAGUUCUCGGAGUUGCCAAGCUUAUUAAUACUGUAUGUUUUCUUACUUCGGAACAUAAAUUUGUGCCUUAAUUAUGUUUUCAUCCUUUC